GAGAUUCGAGUGGGACCUUCACUUAGAGAUUUUACAACAAUUAUAUGUCUUAGAGCUCUGCACAUACGUGGAGGUGUUGGCCAACACACAAUUGGUUGAAAGUAAUAUCCAAAGUUUUUCCUUGGCAGUGGGUAAUUCCAGAUCCCUCACCCCACAUCGGAGGCUGGUGUUAGAGAUACUGGACCAGCAAAAUAAAAGACCCAGAGUAG
rnacentral:lncRNA from 1 species